UACGUAGGCAGCGAGCGUUGUUCGGAGUUACUGGGCAUAAAGGGUGCGUAGGUGGCUUGUUAAGUCAGGGGUGAAAGUUUUCGGCCCAACCGGAAAAUGGCCUUUGAUACUGGCGAGCUCGAGUGCGUGAGGGGUAACCGGAACGAGCAGUGUAGCGGUGAAAUGCGUAGAUAUUGCUCGGAAGGCCAACGGCGAAGGCAGGUUACUGGUGCGCAACUGACACUGAGGCACGAAAGCGUGGGGAGCAAACAGG
rnacentral:rRNA from 1 species